CUGGAGGUAUCAGAAGUGCGAAUGCUGACAUAAGUAACGAUAAAGCGGGUGAAAAGCCCGCUCGCCGGAAGACCAAGGGUUCCUGUCCAACGUUAAUCGGGGCAGGGUGAGUCGACCCCUAAGGCGAGGCCGAAAGGCGUAGUCGAUGGGAAACGGGUUAAUAUUCCCGUACUUGGUGUUACUGCGAAGGGGGGACGGAGAAGGCUAUGUUGGCCGGGCGACGGUUGUCCCGGUUUAAGCGUGUAGGUGUGUGUUCCAGGUAAAUCCGGUUCACUUUAACACUGAGGCGUGACGACGAGGCACUACGGUGCUGAAGCAACAAAUGCCCUGCUUCCAGGAAAAGCCUCUAAGCAUCAGGUAACAUCAAAUCGUACCCCAAACCGACACAGGUGGUCAGGUAGAGAAUACCAAGGCGCUUGAGAGAACUCGGGUGAAGGAACUAGGCAAAAUGGUGCCGUAACUUCGGGAGAAGGCACGCUGA
rnacentral:rRNA from 1 species